rnacentral:rRNA from 1 species
GGAAUCUUGGACAAUGGGGGCAACCCUGAUCCAGCGACGCCGCGUGGGUGAUGAAGGCCUUCGGGUUGUAAAGCCCUUUCGCCGGGGACGAUGAUGACGGUACCCGGUGACGAAGCACCGGCUAACUACGUGCCAGCAGCCGCGGUAAUACGUAGGGUGCAAGCGUUAAUCGGAAUUACUGGGCGUAAAGCGUGCGCAGGCGGUCGCGUAAGCCAGAUGUGAAAUCCCCGGGCUUAACCUGGGAACUGCAUUUGGUACUGCGUGGCUGGAGUGCGGCAGAGGAAGGUGGAAUUCCUGGUGUAGCAGUGAAAUGCGUAGAGAUCAGGAGGAACACCGAUGGCGAAGGCAGCCUUCUGGGCCAGCACUGACGCUCAUGCACGAAAGCGUGGGGAGCAAAC